UUCUUCCGCAAUGGACGAAAGUCUGACGGAGCAACGCCGCGUGAGUGAUGAAGGUUUUCGGAUCGUAAAGCUCUGUUGUUAGGGAAGAACAAGUGCCGUUCAAAUAGGGCGGCACCUUGACGGUACCUAACCAGAAAGCCACGGCUAACUACGUGCCAGCAGCCGCGGUAAUACGUAGGUGGCAAGCGUUGUCCGGAAUUAUUGGGCGUAAAGGGCUCGCAGGCGGUUUCUUAAGUCUGAUGUGAAAGCCCCCGGCUCAACCGGGGAGGGUCAUUGGAAACUGGGGAACUUGAGUGCAGAAGAGGAGAGUGGAAUUCCACGUGUAGCGGUGAAAUGCGUAGAGAUGUGGAGGAACACCAGUGGCGAAGGCGACUCUCUGGUCUGUAACUGACGCUGAGGAGCGAAAGCGUGGGGAGCGAACAGGAUUAGAUACCCUGGUAGUCCACGCCGUAAACGAUGAGUGCUAAGUGUUAGGGGGUUUCCGCCCCUUAGUGCUGCAGC
rnacentral:rRNA from 1 species